rnacentral:rRNA from 1 species
GACGAAGGUGGCGACCGUUGUUCGGAAUCACUGGGCAUAAAGAGCACGUAGGCGGCAAGGUAAGUCGGGUGUGAAAUCCCUCGGCCUAACCGAGGAAUUGCGCCCGAAACUACCGUGCUUGAGGAUGGAAGGGGAGCGUGGAAUUCCUGGUGGAGCGGUGAAAUGCGUUGAUAUCAGGAGGAACACCGGCGGCGAAGGCGACGCUCUGGUCCAUUACUGACGCUGAGGUGCGAAAGCCAGGGGAGCAAACGGG